CGGAGUUAGCCGAUGCUUAUUCCUCAGGUACCGUCAAAAUUCUUCCCUGAGAAAAGAGGUUUACAAUCCAAGAACUUUCCUCCCUCACGCGGUAUUGCUCCGUCAGGCUUUCGCCCAUUGCGGAAAAUUCCCC
rnacentral:rRNA from 1 species